AAUUUAGAGCAGCAAGACGGGAGGGAUGUGAAUUUUGCAAAUCGGAGUUUACUUGCUCUGGAGCCUCUCAGCAGCUCUCUCUUUGGUUUGCGGCCAAAGAACUGCCGACAAAGAGAAGGGGGGGGGGGGGGAAAAAUCCUUGCAGAAAGGCGUCGGCAUUGUUUCUGUUUAAAGGCAGUGCGCUGCCAGCUCGACAGCGUGCGAGCUCUCCCUUCCAGCCAGGACACAUCUCUCCCGCAGCCCUCGCUGCGCUGCGAGCCGAACCGAACGAGGCAGCGAAAAGUUUCGAUUAUUAUUGUCAUUUACCAGCAACUCUGGCAGAGGCAGCGCGGUCCCCGCACCUGCCCGCCCUCCAUCCCGGGGCAGAGCCCUGGGGCAGGAGCCGGGCACGCCGCGUUCCCCGCUCCCAUGCCGGGGGGGAAGCCUGGCCCCGGGAUGAACUUUGUAAACACGGCUCGGGAGCCGAGGCUGCGGAGCCCGGGAUCCCCGCGCCGGCAGGGAGAGCUGGCAGCGCUCGGUGCUGGCAGCGCCCAGCCCUCCCCUCUGCCAGCCUCCCCUUCCCCUUUAAAUCAACAUCCGUGUGCGAGGCAGGCAGGCAGGAUCCCCCCCCUUCCCCUGGAAAAGGGAUGCGGAGCCCGGCCGGGAUCAGGGAACGCCGCCCGCAGCCGCCUCCGGAGCCGCCACUUGGGGAAAAACAGCAAAAGUACCUUUUGAAUUCUUCCGUCAAUGUCCAAAUAAAUACAUUUGGGCCGGGCUGUUUCCAUCAACGGGCAGAAGAACUUUUUCUCAAUAGAAGAGAUGAAAGAGUCUCUCAGCUUUUAGGGAGGGAGGCCAAAAAACCGUCACAGAAUCCAUGUGAAAAAGAUGACAAAAGCCUCCAGCAGCACUGAAACUGUCUGAUCUGCUCUGCCAGAACAUUGGAAGCCAACAUGAAACAGGGACAUUUUUAACUAAUUCCCAAAAUUACGAGUACUUGAGUGUCCCUUUUCCUGGGAGUCACACAACUCUCCAGAGCGUUCCUACCAUCUCCAAAAGUCCCAGGUCAUGACAAUCAAAGGAACUAAACAGAUUGGAUGGCAAAUCAUUACUGUCUGCCUUCAAAUAACA